rnacentral:rRNA from 1 species
AGCGAACGCUGGCGGCAGGCUUAACACAUGCAAGUCGAGCGCCCCGCAAGGGGAGCGGCAGACGGGUGAGUAACACGUGGGAACGUACCCUUCAGUUCGGAACAACCCAGGGAAACUUGG